GGAUGUGAGGGCGAUCUGGCUGCGACAUCUGUCACCCCAUUGAUCGCCAGGGUUGAUUCGGCUGAUCUGGCUGGCUAGGCGGGUGUCCCCUUCCUCCCUCACCGCUCCAUGUGCGUCCCUCCCGAAGCUGCGCGCUCGGUCGAAGAGGACGACCAUCCCCGAUAGAGGAGGACCGUUCUUCGGUCAAGGGUAUACGAGUAGCUGCGCUCCCCUGCUAGAACCUCCAAACAAGCUCUCAAAACCCAAGUGCUUCAGAGCUGGCUGGUGUAGCCUGUCCAACCCUGAUAUCACUGGCUUUAGACUUCAGGAGAAGUGACCAUGAUU
rnacentral:snRNA from 1 species